GCGCGAAGCGUGGAGUUUGUGCGUGUUGCCGUAAAGCAGUUCUCUCCGUGAUACCUGUGUAUCCCUAAAAGCUGCCUAACUAGUUCUACCGCAUCAAAUAGUAUUCGGUGUCGUUGUAUAAUGAAAACCCGUGACAGCGCGUCGGGCGACAUGGAAGAGUGCCACCGAAUGAGCGCCCUGGAAGACUGCGAAGUGCUGUUGAACGAUUUGGCAGAUACGUCUGACCUUCCCACGUCUCUCAUAAUAACCAACGUCGACGUUAGCGUCUUCACAGACCCGGAACAAAAGGCCAAGUUUGAGGAGAUGUUCGAGCUCAUCGAGCCUGGUGCCACGUUCGGAUACUUCCGCAGCUUCCGCCGCGCAAGGGUCACCUUUGAGAGCCCCGACUCUGCGGCCCGAGCGCGCAUCCAUUGCCACCAGAUGCAGUUUGGCGAAAGCGUUCUCAACUGCUACUUUGCUCAGGCAUCGUCACCGGAUGAGGGCAAGGACGGCCAUUUGCAGCCGCCGUCUCCGCAGCGCCAGUUCCUUAUUUCGCCACCAGCGUCGCCACCCGUAGGCUGGGAGCCUGUCGAGGAACACGAGCCUUGCAUCAACUAUGACAUCAUUACAGCUCUGACCAGCCUUGCACCAGGUGAGCCACACGAGCUCCAUCCAGCCUCAGAGACGCAGCCGGGCAUCGUGGUGCACGUUUGUGAGGAGGUGUCCUCGUUGGAGCCCAAGCGGGAGAAGCCCGCCUUCAUCCACACACCCUGUCCCGGACGACCGUGCAACGAAGAAUCGUCCUAGGGCCACAGACGGAUCUGCUCUCUACAACCGUGGCUGGAGCAAGCCAGUUCUUGAGAUUUGUGGCUGUCGACGUGCCUGGUCGAAGCUGCGACCUGUGCGACACCUGGGUGCCCGUCGUUGUGGAUCUGUACUCGUGACCGGGCGUCACCUGCCGAGGCACCAGCGCCUGUGUUCACUACUCGUUGCACCAGCAGCUCUCAAACGAUCAGCUCUCGGCUGUCUGGAAUCUGUGAAGAGAUUUCACUACGAUCUAAGAAUGCAUCUUUCGUACCGCCUCCUUUCGUAUCCACAUGGGUUAAUGAGUUGAGUCUGUGUACAUGCACAAGCAGUUUUACCAUCUCCUCAUGUGACCUUUUCUAAGUUAUUGUCUAUGUUCCCUUAAAUUUUGUUGAAAAUUGACCCGAAAGCGUUUGCAGAAAAUAUCACUUGCGGAUAUUUUCAGAUGUGUAUGCAGCUGUACAGAAGUGAUGUAGCGAUUUUCUUUCUCUGAGGUUUUGUGACAAUUGGCAGUUGAUUUUCAGUGUCAUGUCACCACAGACAACGAAAAGUGCCGAUGCGGUGUGUCGCAGAUACCAUGUGUCGACAUCAAUAGCAUGAUGCAGGAUCAACAUGUGUUGCUACGUGGCACGCAGUCUUACACCUCUAUCUCUUCAGCAAAGCUUUUUACAUUAAAAAAAGUAAGAAAAUGGUAGCUUUGUCCGUGUGCAUGGGGAUACAAUCUUAGCACGUAAUCAUAAUAUUUUUAAUCAAGAAUGGAGUCUUUUUCAUGCAUCUAGAAUACCUUCAGGGAUAAGAACUGACGUAAAAAGCGAUUACGUCCACGAGAUGUCUUUGGGACCGAUGACGAUAUGGGAUUCGCACCUUUCUUGAAGCUACUGUAUUGUUGCCCAGGCUGCAGAAUGCAUCGAUGACCGUGAAAACUGUUAAAAAAGUUUUUUGAAGAUUGGUCGUGGCAGCUUACACGCUGUCGUAAUACCCCAAUGCACAAUUCCUGCCACUCGUACCGUGUACUCAUCUUUGCAAAUGUGCAAGAUGCAUUUAAUUUCGGAGAACCACUGCUCACAGUGAACAAAACCUUUGGGUGGGCACGUGACCCGGUAGCACUGUUCUCACGUCUUCACAGCAUGGACAACAGAAAAAUUGUAGCGUUAGCAAAUGCUUGUUUGUGUAUGGAAGCAUGAUACUGAAUGGUACUGGAUGGCAAAAGUGAAAGUAUAGUUGAGCACGCACACUGAUGAAUGUCAUUUGCCUUCCACGUCCUUAAGGGAUAACAUCGUUGUAGGUUGGCAGAACACACUUGCGGUAAGCUAACAGUUUUGUGCUAGCUAGUACUCCAUUAUGUGUGAUGACUAUUUCAUGAAGAUUGAGCGACGAGAAUCAGGGCACCACUCAAACUACUCCAAUGAGCCACUAAGAUCAGAAUUUGCCUCCGUCUUCCCUCAUCUUUUUCGCUUAUUCACUCCGUAACCGUCACAUUCUUAUGGAGUAGCAAGUAACAGCUGUAGUACUAGUAACGGAUCGAUUUGUCAAAAAAGUGAUUAACUUCCGUCUGUUGUGACCUUACCACAUGCUGUGCCGAGCGGGUCUCUGAGUGGCUGUGGUGUGAAAGCCAGUGAUGAAUGGAAUAAUGAAAAAAAAAGAAGAAAUACUUGUUUGAUGGGCUCGGCAUAAAUGACAUUUGUCAAUGCAAAGGCACAGUUUGCCAGCGAUAGGUUUACAGUUCAGACCACUUAUAAUGUAACUGCCUUUAAUGAAGGAA